rnacentral:rRNA from 1 species
UGAAGUGAGUAGUCCGCACGAGCGCACCUUACUUUUAGUUGCUACCAUUCAGUUGGGCACUCUAAAAGAACUGCCGGUGAUAAGCUGGAGGAAGGUGGGGAUGACGUCAAGUCCUCAUGGCCCUUAUGUGUUGGGCUACACACGUGCUACAAUGGUAUUUACAGUGGGAUGCAAAGAGGCAACUCUAAGCCAACCCCAAAAAGAUACCUCAGUUCGGAUUGCACUCUGCAACUCGAGUGCAUGAAGCUGGAAUUACUAGUAAUCGUGGAUCAGCGCGCCACGGUGAAUACGUUCCCGGGUCUUGUACACACCGCCCGUCACACCAUGGAAGUUGGUUACACCUUAAGGCAAAGCGUAAAACCUUUGACUACGGUACGAUCAGCGACUGGGGUGAAGUCGUAACAAGGUAGCCGUAGGGGAACCUGCGGCUGGAUCACCUCCUUUCU